AGCUUUGCAAAGUGGCAGUAUCAUAGCCAAUGAGGUUUAUCUGAGGUGUGAUUAUUGCUAAUUGAAAAAAGAUAACUACAGACCAAUCUCCCUAAUAAAUGUAGAUGCAAAAAUCCUCAGUGAGAUAUUGGCAAACAGAAUGCAGC
ensembl:snRNA U4 U4 spliceosomal RNA